rnacentral:rRNA from 1 species
CCUACGGGAGGCAGCAGUGGGGAAUAUUGCACAAUGGGGGGAACCCUGAUGCAGCGACGCCGCGUGCACGAUGACGUAUUUCGGUGUGUAAAGCUCUAUCAGCAGGGAAGAAAAUGACGGUACCUGUCUAAGAAGCCCCGGCUAACUACGUGCCAGCCGCCGCGGUAAUACGUAGGGGGCAAUCGUUAUCCGGAUUUACUGGGUGUAAAGGGAGCGUAGACGGUCCUGCAAGCCAGAGGUGAAAGACCGGGGCUCAACCCGGGACUGCAUGUGGAACUGGAAGGCUAGAGUGUCGGAGAGGCAGGCGGAAUGCCUAGUGUAGCGGUGAAAUGCGUAGAUAUGAGGAGGAACACCAGUGGCGAAGGCGGCCUGCUGGAAGAUGACUGACGUUGAGGCUCGAAAGCGUGGGGAGCAAACAGGAUUAGAUACCCCAGUAGUC